rnacentral:rRNA from 1 species
GACGAACGCUGGCGGCGUGCUUAACACAUGCAAGUCGAGCGAUGAAGCACCUUCGGGUGUGAAUUAGCGGCGAACGGGUGAGGAACACGUGAAGAAUCUGCCUUCAACUCUGGGAUAACUCCGGGAAACCGGGGCUAAUACCGGAUAUGAGCCUUGAUCGCAUGAUCGGGGCUGGAAAGUUUUUCGGUUGAAGAUGACUUCGCGGCCUAUCAGCUUGUUGGUGAGGUAAUGGCUCACCAAGGCGACGACGGGUAGCCGGCCUGAGAGGGCGACCGGCCACACUGGGACUGAGACACGGCCCAGACUCCUACGGGAGGCAGCAGUGGGGAAUAUUGGGCAAUGGAGGGAAACUCUGACCCAGCGACGCCGCGUGAGGGAUGAAGGCCAGGGAAGAAGCGAAAGUGACGGUUCGGGUUGUAAACCUCUUUCAGU